rnacentral:pre_miRNA from 1 species
CCGUGGUUCUGUCUGAUAUGUUUGAUAUUAGGUUGUUUUACUAAAACUCGACUAAAUAUCAUACAUAUUGCUACAGCGCCCUGGCC